rnacentral:lncRNA from 1 species
UUUUUAGUUUUUACUAAUUACUGUAUAAUCCUGUGUGUUCAUCUUUAGGAGCCCAAUGAUUAAUGAAGGAUGUCACAUGUAUCAUCAGGAAACAAAGGAGGGAAAUUAUGCAAUCUUACCAGAGGCUCCAAGAAUCUGUACCAUGUGCAAUAGCCACACUCUUGUAAAACCAUCAGCAUAUUGAUGAAUUAGGGGUAUGUCUAGCCCAAGCUUAUGAAGACUUCCCCUGGUGGAAUGGGUGAAUGAGGACAAAAUAUCCAAAGAACAUAAAAAUGGCAAGUGAUAAGAACAUCUUGGUGUUUUGAGGAUGACCACAUGAGGUAAUGUAUGCAAAGCAUCAUAUAAAUGUCUGUUAAUUUAUAUAAAUAUGCGUGGAUAGAUUAGA